rnacentral:rRNA from 1 species
AGGGAAUAUUGGACAAUGGGCGAAAGCCUGAUCCAGCAAUGCCGCGUGAGUGAUGAAGGCCUUAGGGUUGUAAAGCUCUUUUACCCGGGAUGAUAAUGACAGUACCGGGAGAAUAAGCCCCGGCUAACUCCGUGCCAGCAGCCGCGGUAAUACGUAGGGGGCCAGCGUUGUCCGGACUUACUGGGCGUAAAGCGCGCGCAGGUGGAUGAGUAUGUGCCGUGUGAAAGCGCCGUCCUUACGAUGGCGAGGUCGUGGUAGACAGCUUAUCUAGAGGCUCGAAGAGGUCGAUGGAAUUCCGGGUGGAGCGGUGAAAUGCGUAGAUAUCCGGAGGAACACCAGGGGCGAAAGCGGUCGACUGGUCGAGUUCUGACACUGAGGCGCGACGGCGUGGGGAGCAAA